AAUGAACGCUGGCGGCAUGCCUAACACAUGCAAGUCGAACGGUAACAGGCCCGCAAGGGUGCUGACGAGUGGCGGACGGGUGAGGAAUACAUCGGAAUUUUGCCCAGUCGUGGGGGAUAACGUAGGGAAACUUACGCUAAUACCGCAUACGACCUAACGGUGAAAGCGGGGACUCGCAAGAGCCUCGCGCGGAUGGAUAAGCCGAUGUCGGAUUAGCUAGUUGGCGGGGUAAGAGCCCACCAAGGCGACGAUCCGUAGCUGGUCUGAGAGGAUGAUCAGCCACACUGGGACUGAGACACGGCCCAGACUCCUACGGGAGGCGAGCAGUGGGGAAUAUUGGACAAUGGGGCAACCCUGAUCCAGCAAUGCCGCGUGUGUGAAGAAGGCCU
rnacentral:rRNA from 1 species